UACGAAGGGGGCUAGCGUUGCUCGGCAUCACUGGGCGUAAAGGGUGCGUAGGCGGGUCUUUAAGUCAGGGGUGAAAUCCUGGAGCUCAACUCCAGAACUGCCUUUGAUACUGAGGAUCUUGAGUACGGGAGAGGUGAGUGGAACUGCGAGUGUAGAGGUGAAAUUCGUAGAUAUUCGCAAGAACACCAGUGGCGAAGGCGGCUCACUGGCCCGAUACUGACGCUGAGGCACGAAAGCGUGGGGAGCAAACAGG
rnacentral:rRNA from 1 species